rnacentral:rRNA from 1 species
GACGAACGCUGGCGGCGUGCUUAACACAUGCAAGUCGAACGGAAAGGCCCUGCUUUUGUGGGGUGCUCGAGUGGCGAACGGGUGAGUAACACGUGAGUAACCUGCCCUUGACUUUGGGAUAACUUCAGGAAACUGGGGCUAAUACCGGAUAGGAGCUCCUGCUGCAUGGUGGGGGUUGGAAAGUUUCGGCGGUUGGGGAUGGACUCGCGGCUUAUCAGCUUGUUGGUGGGGUAGUGGCUUACCAAGGCUUUGACGGGUAGCCGGCCUGAGAGGGUGACCGGCCACAUUGGGACUGAGAUACGGCCCAGACUCCUACGGGAGGCAGCAGUGGGGAAUAUUGCACAAUGGGCGAAAGCCUGAUCCAGCAAUGCCGCGUGAGUGAUGAAGGCCUUAGGGUUGUAAAGCUCUUUUACCCGGGAUGAUAAUGACAGUACCGGGAGAAUAAGCUCCGGCUAACUCCGUG